UGUGCUCUCAUGGCGACUGGCCAAAGAGAAGCACCCCUCUGCGCAGAAGUAAAAUUGCUUUGCUAAGAAUCCUUUAUUUGAGUGUUCAAUUUCCUUAGGAUUUUGAACGUUAUUCCCAACAAUUCUGGUGCCCAAAUGUGGGACUCAAAUAUUCUCCUUCGGGAAGGGGGUCUUCGCUCACUCCACCCAGGGGGGAUGCAUCCCACUGUCUAGUUACAGUGGCCUGAGGGUGAAGGGAGAUCAGGUCCCACCUGUUGUGACGAAUAAAUCUGGGUUCUCAGCAAAGUGGACAGGAGAGGCUUGCAAGACCACGGCAAUAAAAGGACCAGGUUUUGCUGUUUCAGAAUAAAUUUUUAUUACAAAGAAAAUGCAUUUACAUCUAGAAAAUGAAGACAAAAGAGAAGAAAAUUAAAAUGUCCUGCAGGCUGGAUGAGGUGGCUCAUACCUGUAAUCUCAGCACCAUGGGAGUCCAAAGCAGGAUUGCUCAAGACCAGAAGUUCAAGACUGGCCUGGACAACAUAGCAGGAUCUCAUCAACAACAACUUAGCCAGCCUGACUUCAGUUCAUUCUAAACACAAUGAACAGAGUGUUCCUGUUAAAACUGAAGCCUGGCCUUUGCCUCAGGACCCUGCUUCCUGGCACCUCUUCCAAAAGUGGCUCCCUUCCCUCACACAGUCUUCACACCGCUGGACCUCAAAG
rnacentral:lncRNA from 1 species